CUGCUGCUGCUGAUGCUGCUGCUGAUGUUGAUUAAAGUAGAAACAACUUUUGGCUGCUGUCGAGGGUCUCCUGUGCCGGUGUCUCUAUGGAGUUGCUCACCGUCUGCGAUCUCGUAAUGCCGUAUGCAGAAUUAUCGCCGUAGGAUGGCCUGAUCGUCUUCUUAUUUGGCAACGAGCACGCUGAAAGGCAAAGUAAUUUGCAGAUAAUCGCCGCAGUCUGGAUUUUGACCUAUAAAAAUGUGUUGAUGCAGAAAGGAGAAAAUUGUUAGUACACGAAAUACAGAUUUAUUAAAAUUACAAUGAAGAGAACCGA
rnacentral:lncRNA from 13 species